AAUUAUCGUUUUGCUUGCUUGUAUGUGGAUUAAUGAUGCUGAUUGAGGAAAAAGAGAACGAACAAUUAUGUAAAUGGAUAAUGGUAUAAUGUGAUCAGCCUGACUAGAUAUCCUGGGAGAUGGUGGACGGACCUGGUCCAUAGGGGACCCUACCGGGAUUGUGGUCUCCCAUACCGGACGGGGUAUGGAGAUCUUAUGUGUUUUGGCG
rnacentral:lncRNA from 1 species